GGGCCCGCACAAGCGGUGGAGCAUGUGGUUUAAUUCGAUGCAACGCGAAGAACCUUACCAGGGCUUGACAUACUGCGAACUUCUUUGAAAAGAGAAGGUGCCUUCGGGAACGCAGAUACAGGUGGUGCAUGGCUGUCGUCAGCUCGUGUCGUGAGAUGUUGGGUUAAGUCCCGCAACGAGCGCAACCCUUGUUUUUAGUUACCAAUUCGUUGGGUUUUCUAGAAAGACUGCCGGUGACAAACCGGAGGAAGGUGAGGAUGACGUCAAGUCAGCAUGCCCCUUAUGUCCUGGGCUACACACGUGCUACAAUGGUUAGGACAAAGAGUCGCGAGCUUGUGAAAGUUAGCUAAUCUCGUAAACCUCGCCUAAGUUCAGAUUGUAGGCUGCAACUCGCCUACAUGAAGUUGGAAUCGCUAGUAAUCG
rnacentral:rRNA from 1 species